rnacentral:rRNA from 1 species
GACGAACGCUGGCGGCGUGCUUAACACAUGCAAGUCGAACGGAAAGGCCCUGCUUUUGUGGGUUGCUCGAGUGGCGAACGGGUGAGUAACACGUGAGUAACCUGCCCUUGACUUUGGGAUAACUUCAGGAAACUGGGGCUAAUACCGGAUAGGAGCUCCUGCUGCAUGGUGGGGGUUGGAAAGUUUCGGCGGUUGGGGCUGGACUCGCGGCUUAUCAGCUUGUUGGUGGGGUAGUGGCUUACCAAGGCUUUGACGGGUAGCCGGCCUGAGAGGGUGACCGGCCACAUUGGGACUGAGAUACGGACCAGACUGCUACGGGAGGCAGCAGGGGGGAAUAUUGCACAAUGGGCGGAAGCCUGAUGCAGCAACGCCGCGUGCGGGAUGACGGCCUUCGGGUUGUAAACCGCUUUCGCCUGUGACGAAGCGUGAGUGACGGUAAUGGGUAAAGAAGCAACGGCUAACUACGUG